rnacentral:rRNA from 1 species
UACGUAGGGGGCAAGCGUUAUCCGGAAUUACUGGGUGUAAAGGGAGUGUAGGCGGCAUGGUAAGCCAGAUGUGAAAGCCCGAAGCUUAACUUCGAGGAUUGCAUUUGGAACUAUCAAGCUAGAGUACAGGAGAGGAAAGCGGAAUUCCUAGUGUAGCGGUGAAAUGCGUAGAUAUUAGGAAGAACACCAGUGGCGAAGGCGGCUUUCUGGACUGAAACUGACGCUGAGGCUCGAAAGCGUGGGGAGCAAACAGG